rnacentral:rRNA from 1 species
UACGGGGGGGGCAAGCGUUGUUCGGAAUUACUGGGCGUAAAGGGCGCGUAGGCGGCCUGCUAAGUCGGAUGUGAAAUCCCUCGGCUCAACCGAGGAACUGCAUCCGAUACUGGCGGGCUUGAAUCCGGGAGAGGGAUGUGGAAUUCCGGGUGUAGCGGUGGAAUGCGUAGAGAUCCGGAAGAACACCGGUGGCGAAGGCGGCCUGCUGGGCAGUUUGCUGACACUGAGGCGCGACAGCGUGGGGAGCAAACAGG